rnacentral:tRNA from 2 species
GCCGACGUAGCUCAGUGGUAGAGCAGCUGAUUCGUAAUCAGCAGGCCGUGGGUUCAAGUCCCAUCGUCGGCUCCA